rnacentral:rRNA from 1 species
AUACGUAGGGGGCUAGCGUUGUCCGGAUUUAUUGGGCGUAAAGAGCGUGUAGGCGGCUAGGUAGGUCCGUUGUGAAAACUCGAGGCUCAACCUCGAGACGUCGAUGGAAACCAUCUAGCUAGAGUCCGGAAGAGGAGAGUGGAAUUCCUGGUGUAGCGGUGAAAUGCGCAGAUAUCAGGAAGAACACCCGUGGCGAAGGCGGCUCUCUGGGACGUGACUGACGCUGAGACGCGAAAGCGUGGGGAGCAAACAG